UACGAAGGUCCCAAGCGUUAUCCGGAUUUAUUGGGUUUAAAGGGUGCGUAGGCGGACUAUUAAGUCAGUGGUGAAAGCCCCCAGCCUAACUGGGGAACUGCCAUUGAUACUGAUGGUCUUGAGUACAUUUGAGGUGGGCGGAAUGUGUCAUGUAGCGGUGAAAUGCUUAGAUAUGACACAGAACACCGAUUGCGAAGGCAGCUCACUAAAUUGUAACUGACGCUGAGGCACGAAAGCGUGGGGAUCAAACAGG
rnacentral:rRNA from 1 species